rnacentral:lncRNA from 1 species
GCAAUUUUAUGGUGGGAGCGUCUCCCCAGAAAUCUCUACUCCUAAGGUAACCAGUUUUUUCUCCAUGAAUAUGAUUCUCCAACUUCCUGAUUCAUUAUUUGUAAAAAACACUAAUGAUAUUGUUGGGCCUCUGAACCAUUGUGUUGAUUGCCAUGUUUUGCUUGAAUAUCUCAGAAUGUCCGAAUUCUAGCAUUUGAAAAGUUGAACAACACAAUGUUACUGAAAAUAUGUUGGAUUGCGUGAAGAAUACGGAUAAAUAGUUUUGAAUUAUUUUGUAGCGAGACACAUGCACCUGGUGUUGUCUACCUUAUCCAACACCUAUCGAUAAUGUCAAUAAGAUACAAUAUUGUUAUGGAAAGUCCAUAACAAACUAAUUCCAACAUUAUGUGAUUUGCUGACACAUCUCAUGGUAUCGAUAUUAAUAAAGGUUUUCUGUUAUAAGUUUUACUGUGAGACUAGGCAUCUUUUGUUUUCAAAACAAUAGACUCAUGCAUAGUUAAUUUGACUUGAAUGAAGCAG